GAUGAACGCUGGCGGCGUGCCUAAUACAUGCAAGUCGAGCGAACGGAUGAGAAGUUUGCUCUUCUGAUGUUAGCGCCCGACGGGACAUUAACUCUUGGAUAACCUACCUAUAAGACUGGGAUAAUUUUGGGAAACCGGCGCUAAUACCGGAUAAUAUUUUGAACAGCAUGGUUCAAAAGUGAAAGACGGUCUUGCUGUCACUUAUAGAUGGAACCGCCCUGCAUUCGUAAGUUGGUAAGGUAACGGCUUACCAAGGCAACGAUGCAUAGGCGACCUGAGAGGGUGAUCGGCCGCACUGGAGCUGAGACACGGUGCAGACUCCUACGGGAGGCAGCAGUAGGGAAUCUUCCGCAAGGAGCGGUGGCCUGACGGAGCAACGCCGCGAGAGUGAUGAAGGUCUUCGGAUCGUGAAACUCUGAUAUUAGAGAAGAAUAUAUGUGUAAGAAACGGUAAACUUCUUGACGGUACCGAAGCAGAAAGCCACGGCUAACUACGU
rnacentral:rRNA from 1 species